rnacentral:rRNA from 1 species
CACGGGUGAGUGACACGUAUCCAACCUGCCGUCUACUCUUGGCCAGCCUUCUGAAAGGAAGAUUAAUCCAGGAUGGCAUCAUGAGUUCACAUGUCCGCAUGAUUAAAGGUAUUUUCCGGUAGACGAUGGGGAUGCGUUCCAUUAGAUAGUAGGCGGGGUAACGGCCCACCUAGUCAACGAUGGAUAGGGGUUCUGAGAGGAAGGUCCCCCACAUUGGAACUGAGACACGGUCCAA